UUUCUUGUCUUCCACUCUAG
rnacentral:miRNA from 1 species